rnacentral:misc_RNA from 1 species
CCUUAACAGCAAUUGUCAUCCCUGUUUCGUCAAGAAUUCCUUUAUACACACGUCCAAAGCUACCCGUACCAAUAAGAUUAGCUAGGGAGAACCCAUCAGUAGCCCUUUGAAGAGCUUGGUAAGACACAUUCAGAAGCAAAUUCUUGUAAGGGUCCAAAGUAGGCACUUUCUUCUUCUUUUUUAACCAGCAAAGAAGUGCAAAAGUGAAUACAAAUGCUAGAACUGAAAGUGCACUUACUGCAGAGAUAACUAUCUUUAAGAGAAGACUCAUUCGUUUCUUAGGAUUUCUGAUGUUGCACUUAGGUAGCUCGAGUUCAGGUAUGCCUCCACAAAGCUUAGCAUUUCCCAUGACUAAUAUUCUACUUGCAUUCUUGAAGACUCCUCCUACUGGUACAACCCCUUCAAAGUUGUUGUAAGACAAAUUUAAUGUCUGCAACAAGGCAAAACCCUGAAAAAAUUCUGGAAUUUCCCCUGACAAAUUGUUACGAGAAAGAUCCAAUUCUCGAAGGCCUCUCAAUGAACUCAUUGAUGAGGG